UACGUAGGGGGCAAGCGUUGUCCGGAAUUAUUGGGCGUAAAGCGCGCGCAGGCGGCUUUGUAAGUCUGUCGUUUAAGUUCGGGGCUCAACCCCGUAUCGCGAUGGAAACUGCAAGGUUGAGUACAGAAGAGGAAAGUGGAAUUCCGACGUGUAGCGGUGAAUGCGUAGAGAUGUGGAGGAACACCAGUGGCGAAGGCGACUUUCUGG
rnacentral:rRNA from 1 species